GCGUUAAUCGGAUUUACUGGGCGUAAAGCGCGCGUAGGUGGCCAAUUAAGUCAAAUGUGAAAUCCCCGAGCUUAACUUGGGAAUUGCAUUCGAUACUGGUUGGCUAGAGUAUGGGAGAGGAUGGUAGAAUUCCAGGUGUAGCGGUGAAAUGCGUAGAGAUCUGGAGGAAUACCGAUGGCGAAGGCAGCCAUCUGGCCUAAUACUGACACUGAGGUGCGAAAGCAUGGGGAGCAAACAGGAUUAGAUACCCUGGUAGUCCAUGCCGUAAACGAUGUCUACUAGCCGUUGGGGCCUUUGAGGCUUUAGUGGCGCAGCUAACGCGAUAAGUAGACCGCCUGGGGAGUACGGUCGCAAGACUAAAACUCAAAUGAAUUGACGGNGGCCCGCACAAGCGGUGGAGCAUGUG
rnacentral:rRNA from 1 species